rnacentral:rRNA from 1 species
GUCAAAUCAUCAUGCCUCUUACAUCUAGGGCUACAGGCGUGCUACAAUGGCCAAUACAACGGGCUUGCAACACGGUAACGUGAAGCUAAUCCCUUAAAAUUGGUCCCAGUCCGGAUUGAGGUCUGCAACUCGACCUCAUGAAGUUGGAAUCGCUAGUAAUCCCGAAUCAGAAUGUCGGGGUGAAUACGUUCUCGGGUGUU